UCUUAUGGAUAAGCAAAUAAAGUGGUUUCUUGAGAUGGAAUCUACUACUGGUGAAGAUACUGUGAA
rnacentral:pre_miRNA from 4 species